rnacentral:rRNA from 1 species
CUACGGAGGACGCGAGCGUUAUCCGGAUUCAUUGGGUUUAAAGGGUGCGCAGGCGGCCGUGCAAGUCAGCGGUGAAAGCCCGGGGCUCAACCCCGGAAGUGCCGUCGAUACUGCAUGGCUUGAAUGCGGUCGAGGCGGGCGGGACGUGGGGUGUAGCGGUGAAAUGCGUAGAUAUGCCACAGAACGCCGAUAGCGGAGGCAGCUCGCCAGGCCUGCAUUGACGCUCGGGCACGAAAGCGUGGGGAUCGAACAGGAUUAGAUACCCUGGUAGUCCACGCCGUAAACGAUGGGCGCUCGUCGUCGGCGGCAGACAGUCGGCGGCCAAGCGAAAGCGAUAAGUCAUCCACCUGGGGAGUACGUUCGCAAGAAUGAAACUAAAAUGAAUUGACGGGG